UUUUUUGUAUUAGAUACACUGGUAUUUACUGUAUUUGUGUAAGCUCAUGUUAGAUUCCCCUUCAAUGAACUGAGUAUCAUUCGACACAAUUACUAACUCUAUUCUCAAAUUAGUGAGGAGGAGGACCAACAGGAAAAAAUUGGAACAAUAAUAGUAAUAAUAAAGAAAAUGACAAGUUUGUGUACUUUACUUCUAACAAGAUCUUUAAGAGGAGGACCAAGUUAAGAUUGUUGGAAACACCAACGCUGCCAUGACCAAAGAACAUGGAUAU
rnacentral:lncRNA from 1 species